rnacentral:rRNA from 1 species
AUAUUGCGACAAUGGGCGAGAGCCUGACGCAGCAACGCCGCGUGCGGGAGGAAGGCCUUCGGGUUGUAAACCGCUUUUGAGGGGGAAGAGGAAGGACGGUACCCUUCGAAUAAGUCUCGGCUAACUACGUGCCAGCAGCCGCGGUAAUACGUAGGUGGCAAGCGUUGUCCGGAUUUACUGGGCGUAAAGAGCGCGCAGGCGGCUGGUCAAGUCCGAUGUGAAAGCUCCCGGCUUAACUGGGAAACGGCAUCGGAAACUGAUCGGCUUGAAGGUGGGAGAGGGUAGUGGAAUUCCCGGUGUAGUGGUGAAAUGCGUAGAUAUCGGGAGGAACACCAGUGGCGAAGGCGACUACCUGGCCCAUUCUUGACGCUGAGGCGCGAAAGCUAGGGGAGCGAACG